UACGUAGGCAGCAAGCGUUGUUCGGAGUUACUGGGCGUAAAGGGUGUGUAGGCGGUUGUUUAAGUUUGGGGUGAAAUCUCCCGGCUCAACCGGGAGGGUGCGCCGAAUACUGAAUGACUAGAGUGCGGGAGAGGAAAGUGGAAUUCCUGGUGUAGCGGUGAAAUGCGUAGAUAUCAGGAGGAACACCGGUGGUGUAGACGGCUUUCUGGACCGUAACUGACGCUGAGACACGAAAGCGUGGGUAGCAAACAGG
rnacentral:rRNA from 1 species